rnacentral:rRNA from 1 species
AUUGAACGCUGGCGGCAUGCCUUACACAUGCAAGUCGAACGGUAACAGGUCUUUCGGGAUGCUGACGAGUGGCGAACGGGUGAGUAAUACAUCGGAACGUGCCCAGUAAUGGGGGAUAGCUCGGCGAAAGCCGGAUUAAUACCGCAUACGCCCUGAGGGGGAAAGUGGGGGACCGCAAGGCCUCACGUUAUUGGAGCGGCCGAUGGCUGAUUAGCUAGUUGGUAGGGUAAAGGCCUACCAAGGCGACGAUCAGUAGCUGGUCUGAGAGGACGAUCAGCCACACUGGGAGUGAGACACGGCCCAGACUCCUACGGUAGGCAGCAGUGGGGAAUUUUGGACAAUGGGGGAAACCCUGAUCCAGCAAUGCCGCGUGUGCGAAGAAGGCCUUCGGGUUGUAAAGCACUUUUGUCAGGGAAGAAAUCCUUUGGGCUAAUACCCUAGGGGGAUGACGGUACCUGAAGAAUAAGCACCGGCUAACUACGUGCCAGCAGCCGCAGUAAUAC